CCCUUAGAUGCUCUGGGCCGCACGCGCGCUACACUGGUCGAUGCAACGAGUUUCUUUCCUUGGCCAACAGGCCUGGGCAAUCUUUGAACAUCGAUCGUGAUCGGGAUAGAUUCUUGUAAUUUUUGAUCUUAAACGAGGAAUUCCUAGUAAACGCAAGUCAUCAGCUUGCAUUGAUUACGUCCCUGCCCUUUGUACACACCGCCCGUCGCACCUACCGAUUGAAUGGUCCGGUGAAAUCUCCGGACUGGCGUGAGCCGGAGCAAUCUGACAAACACCGGAAAGUUGAUUAAACCUUACCAUUUAGAGGAAGGUGAAGUCGUAACA
rnacentral:rRNA from 1 species